AGCCUUUUGUAUCCGUGCUGAGAUUUCGUCAGCCAUCAACCCGCUAGUGGUGGCUGACGCAACUUCCCAAAUAAGUGAAGCG
rnacentral:pre_miRNA from 1 species